rnacentral:scRNA from 1 species
GAUGCUGGUGGUUGGCACUCCUGGUUUCCAGGACGGGGUUCAAAUCCCUGCGGCGUCUCCA